UACGUAGGGUGCAAGCGUUGUCCGGAAUUAUUGGGCGUAAAGAGCUCGUAGGUGGCCUGUCGCGUCGGCUGUGAAAACUCGGGGCUCAACUCCGAGCUUGCAGUCGAUACGGGCAGGCCAGAGUUCGGCAGGGGAGACUGGAAUUCCUGGUGUAGCGGUGAAAUGCGCAGAUAUCAGGAGGAACACCGGCGGCGAAGGCGGGUCUCUGGGCCGAUACUGACACUGAGGAGCGAAAGCGUGGGGAGCGAACAGG
rnacentral:rRNA from 1 species